rnacentral:lncRNA from 10 species
CCAAGCCCAUCCAGGGGCAACAGAAGAAGCCCUUUGAGGUGCACUGGAGGAAGCACACCCUGUCCUAUGUGGACGUCGGCACUGGGAAGGUCACUGUGGAAUAUAGACCCAUAAUUGACAAAACUUUGAACGAGGCUGACUGUGCCACUGUCCCCCCAGCCAUUCACUCCUACUGAUGAGACAAGAUGUGGUGAUGACAGAAUCAGCUUUUGGUUGGUGCAGUCUCAGCUCACUGCAGCCUCAAACUCCUGGGCAGCUCAGGUGAUCUUCCCGACUCAGCCUUCUAAGUAGCUGGGGCUACAGAUGGUUUGCUAGGUGAGUGUGUCCUCGAUUCUUUAAAUCAGGGGUCCCCAAUCCCCAGGCCACAGAUUGUUCCAGUCCAUGGCCUGUUAGGAACCAGGCCACACAGUAGGAG